AAUUUUGAAAGCAGCCAAAGGGAAAUGAAAGAGAAACUACCAAAUGAAUGAUUGUAGAUUUCGCAUCAGGAACCAUAGGGGCCAGAAAAAAUGUCAUAACAUUCGGAGACUACGGAAAAGAAGAGUGACUAAGAUCUCUGAAGAAGGGAAAAGCUAGAUGACUGGGCCACAAGAGAAAAAAAGCAGCAAGACAGAAAGACUCCUGUUGUCCACCUCGGGAGCUGACACGAUAAAUGCGGACAAUGAGUAGCCACUGCUGUUUGCCCUGGCCCAUCAAUGAGAAGAUCUGCUCUUAGAGCCCUGCUUUCCUGCUGAAGGCCCUGAAAUCACCUGUGUUCCAGGCCACCUGCUAACAAUAAAUAAUGCUGCCCUGAUGUGGGGAAUUAGCUCAAGUGGUAGAGCGCUUGCUUAGCACGCAAGAGGUAGUGGGAUCGAUGCCCACAUUCUCCAAGCUUUAUUAUUUAGACAUCGUGUCUCCAAACACUCAGGUCUCCAAACCCAAGUUAGUGUCUGAGAACAGGAUGCUGCUUUGGUUCAAGACGUAGGAGCAGCAAUAAUAGAGGGCUGGUGAUGGCUCCCUCUUGGCAUUCAGUAUAGUGUAGAUCUACCAUGUAAUUAAUUCUCUGUUUCUUUGAGGAGCUGUGAAACCAAGGGACAUAUACAACUGCUCUUUUCUCCCUGUUUCUACCUGCAGCUUUGUCCUAAAUGUGAGACAAUUAUGAAAAGUGCAGCGCAGAGCCACUUGGGUAAAUACAGCCCCGGCUUUCUGCUCAGGGGACAGAGUUUGAGGCACUGCAGAGGAACCGGCCAAAGUAUGAGACCCAUAUAUUGAGAGUAACAGAGUGUAAAGUUCAAAAAAAUCAAAAUAUUUAAAGAUUUAUCAUGGGUCUUGAUGACAUGAUGGAAUCUCUCUACUCUCUGGACUUAUUAUGUGUGGUAAUAAAUUUACUUUUUAAAAGCCA
rnacentral:lncRNA from 1 species